CGGACUGCAGUCUGCAACUCGACUGCACGAAGCUGGAAUCGCUAGUAAUCGCGGAUCAGCACGCCGCGGUGAAUACGUUCCCGGGCCUUGUACACACCGCCCGUCACACCAUGGAAGUCUGCAAUGCCCGAAGCCGGUGGCCUAACCACUUAUGUGGAAGGAGCCGUCUAAGGCAGGGCAGAUGACUGGGGUGAAGUCGUAACAAGGUAAC
rnacentral:rRNA from 1 species